rnacentral:tRNA from 1 species
GGGCCUAUAGCAUAGCCUGGAUAGUGCGGUCGGCUUCAAACCGAUUGACAAGGGUUCGAAUCCCUUUGGGCUCA